rnacentral:rRNA from 1 species
GACGAACGCUGGCGGCGUGCUUCACACAUGCAAGUCGAACGGUAAGGCCCUUCGGGGUACACGAGUGGCGAACGGGUGAGUAACACGUGGGUGAUCUGCCCUGCACUUCGGGAUAAGCCUGGGAAACUGGGUCUAAUACCGGAUAGGACUCCGGACUGCAUGGUCUGGGGUGGAAAGCUUUUGCGGUGUGGGAUGGGCCCGCGGCCUAUCAGGUUGUUGGUGGGGGGAUGGCCUACCAAGGCGACGACGGGUAGCCGGCCUGAGAGGGUGACCGGCCAAACUGGGACUGAGAUACGGCCCAGACUCCUACGGGAGGCAGCAGUGGGGAAUAUUGCACAAUGGGCGCAAGCCUGAUGCAGCGACGCCGCGUGAGGGAUGACGGCCUUCGGGUUGUAAACCUCUUUCAGCAUCGACGAAGCGAAAGUGACGGUAGGUGCAGAAGAAGGACCGGCCAACUACGUGCCAGCCGCCGCAGUAA